UACGUAGGUGACAAGCGUUGUCCGGGAUUUACUGGGCGUAAAGAGCGCGCAGGCGGUCGUUCAAGUCGAGUGUGAAAGCCCCCGGCUCAACUGGGGAGGGUCAUUCGAUACUGAUCGACUCGAAGGCAGGAGAGGGAAGUGGAAUUCCCGGUGUAGUGGUGAAAUGCGUAGAUAUUCGCAAGAACACCAGUGGCGAAGGCGGCUCACUGGCCCGAUACUGCGCUGAGGCGACGAAAGCGUGGGG
rnacentral:rRNA from 1 species